rnacentral:lncRNA from 1 species
AAAAAUUUGAAAAAAACAAAAAGCAAAAGAAAAAAAAAAAGGGCCGCGGAUGAAGGAGAGAAAGCUACAAAAAAGAGGGGAAAAUCUGAAAAAUUGGGAGAGAGAGAGAGAGAGAUAGAGAGGACGAGAGAAGAAAUCUAGAGAAAAAGAAACAAGAAAUCAAACAAGGAAAAAGAAGGCUACAGGAGGAGGGAAAAAGAACGAAAGAGCAAAAGCUUGAGGGAGGAAAAUUGGAAGCUUCAGACGGGGAGGAGCAAGAAAAUCAUAAAUUGAGCAAGAAGGGAGCAGGGGAGAGCAAAAGAAAGUCAAGGAACGGAGGAAAAGACGAAGCUGUCGUUCACCGGAAUCCACCACCACCACCUGCAGAGAAAGCACUGUAAGCUUAUCUUUUUCCUUUAAACUUCACUUUUCUUCAAUCAACGGAUUCUUGAAGCCUUCGAAACAUAUUUUUCGUGACUUUGCUUAUGUCAAUUUUCCUGUUGGUUAUCCACGAUUUUAGAAUAUACAUGCUUUAUGUGUCGAUUGGACUAAAAUCCUUUGUGUUUUGACAAUUUUGAGGCUAAUCACAACUUCAAUUGAGUAGGGAACUGUUGAAUUUCUUCAUGCCCAUUGACUGCUUGAUAAAAUGCCCAAACGAAAAUCUCAAACCAAAAGAAUAAAUCUUAUUCAUUUUUUGUAUGCGUUCAAGAGGAAAUCUGGCCAAUCCAAAGCUGGCUAGAACCUGGGCGUUCGCUAGUCGGGGAGAGGAAGAGAAGCCAUGAACUUUUGAAGUUGAUUUCUUCCGUUUUGUUGUUUUUGCAUUCUACAAUGGUUUAGUGCAUACUUGCCGUGUGAGGUCACUGAAAUCUUGAAGCAUCAGAGGUUGCAGAAGUUUUCCCUUUCAGUUGCAUCGAAGAAGACAGCUUCUGUGAAGCAUGAAUGAAUAAAUUUUUAAAAAUUGUAAUUUAACCCCUUAAUUUUUACCUAAUUUCAUUGUGGCCCAAAAAUAAAAAAAAUCGAAUUGAUUUGGCCCUUUUAAGUUUUAAUCCCCCUUUUACGUCUUCGGUGAGUUGUUGCGUAAAUUAAUUCUGAGAUUUUUAUGGUAUAAUUAGGUUCUAUUUUUUUUUAGUUAUCUUAUUAUCUUGUUGGGUUUAAUAAAAAUUAGAUGAGAAUUGGAUCAGGUUUAAUUUAAUUGGGUCUUGAUGGUGG